rnacentral:rRNA from 1 species
AUGAACGCUAGCUACAGGCUUAACACAUGCAAGUCGAGGGGCAGCAUGGUCUUAGCUUGCUAAGGCCGAUGGCGACCGGCGCACGGGUGAGUAACACGUAUCCAACCUGCCGUCUACUCUUGGACAGCCUUCUGAAAGGAAGAUUAAUACAAGAUGGCAUCAUGAGUCCGCAUGUUCACGUGAUUAAAGGUAUUCCGGUAGACGAUGGGGAUGCGUUCCAUUAGAUAGUAGGCGGGGUAACGGCCCACCUAGUCUUCGAUGGAUAGGGGUUCUGAGAGGAAGGUCCCCCACAUUGGAACUGAGACACGGUCCAAACUCCUACGGGAGGCAGCAGUGAGGAAUAUUGGUCAAUGGGCGAGAGCCUGAACCAGCCAAGUAGCGUGAAGGAUGACUGCCCUAUGGGUUGUAAACUUCUUUUAUAAAGGAAUAAAGUCGGGUAUGGAUACCCGUUUGCAUGUACUUUAUGAAUAAGGAUCGGCUAACUCCGUGCCAGCAGCCGCGGUAAUACGGAGGAUCCGAGCGUUAUCCGGAUUUAUUGGGUUUAAAGGGAGCGUAGAUGGAUGUUUAAGUCAGUUGUGAAAGUUUGCGGCUCAACCGUAAAAUUGCAGUUGAUACUGGAUAUCUUGAGUGCAGUUGAGGCAGGCGGAAUUCGUGGUGUAGCGGUGAAAUGCUUAGAUAUCACGAAGAACUCCGAUUGCGAAGGCAGCCUGCUAAGCUGCAACUGACAUUGAGGCUCGAAAGUGUGGGUAUCAAACAGGAUUAGAUACCCUGGUAGUCCACACGGUAAACGAUGAAUACUCGCUGUUUGCGAUAUACUGCAAGCGGCCAAGCGAAAGCGUUAAGUAUUCCACCUGGGGAGUACGCCGGCAACGGUGAAACUCAAAGGAAUUGACGGGGGCCCGCACAAGCGGAGGAACAUGUGGUUUAAUUCGAUGAUACGCGAGGAACCUUACCCGGGCUUAAAUUGCAGAUGAAUUACGGUGAAAGCCGUAAGCCGCAAGGCAUCUGUGAAGGUGCUGCAUGGUUGUCGUCAGCUCGUGCCGUGAGGUGUCGGCUUAAGUGCCAUAACGAGCGCAACCCUUGUUGUCAGUUACUAACAGGUUCCGCUGAGGACUCUGACAAGACUGCCAUCGUAAGAUGUGAGGAAGGUGGGGAUGACGUCAAAUCAGCACGGCCCUUACGUCCGGGGCUACACACGUGUUACAAUGGGGGGUACAGAGGGCCGCUACCACGCGAGUGGAUGCCAAUCCCCAAAACCUCUCUCAGUUCGGACUGGAGUCUGCAACCCGACUCCACGAAGCUGGAUUCGCUAGUAAUCGCGCAUCAGCCACGGCGCGGUGAAUACGUUCCCGGGCCUUGUACACACCGCCCGUCAAGCCAUGGGAGCCGGGGGUACCUGAAGUGCGUAACCGCGAGGAGCGCCCUAGGGUAAAACUGGUGACUGGGGCU